rnacentral:rRNA from 1 species
UACAGAGGUCUCAAGCGUUGUUCGGAUUCAUUGGGCGUAAAGGGUGCGUAGGUGGCUGAGUAAGUCAGGUGUGAAAUCUCGGAGCUCAACUCCGAAACUGCACUUGAUACUGCCUUGCUCGAGUACUGGAGAGGAGAUUGGAAUUUACGGUGUAGCAGUGAAAUGCGUAGAUAUCGUAAGGAAGACCAGUGGCGAAGGCGAAUCUCUGGACAGUUACUGACACUGAGGCACGAAGGCCAGGGGAGCAAACGGG